CUCAGUAUUCUGUGGACUUUCACAUCGCAAUGGAGCACUAUUAACCCUCAUCUGCUACAGUAGCCUCAAGCCAUCGACACCAACGACAGACGUCGCAUACCAUCAACUGAUGUCUUGUGCUAGCAGUUUUAAGGAUGGAAAUUUCUUGAGUGAGUGGGACGGAAUUGGGGAGGAUUGGGAGAUCUGGUGUCAUCGGUCUUCUUAUACUUGAUAGAAUCCAGUCCAGACAACAAACAAGCAGUUACUGUUCACCUAUUCAGUCAUUUCUAAUAAAUAAGUUUGGAUUUUAGUUGGUCUAUUCAUUCUCCUCCCUAGGAUUUCUGUUCAU